rnacentral:rRNA from 1 species
AUUGAACGCUGGCGGCAUGCCUUACACAUGCAAGUCGAACGGCAGCACGGGAGCAAUCCUGGUGGCGAGUGGCGAACGGGUGAGUAAAGUAUCGGAACGUGCCCAGUCGUGGGGGAUAACGUAGCGAAAGUUACGCUAAUACCGCAUACGAUCUAUGGAUGAAAGCGGGGGAUCGCAAGACCUCGCGCGAUUGGAGCGGCCGAUAUCAGGUUAGGUAGUUGGGGGGGUAAAGGCUCACCAAGCCGACGAUCUGUAGCUGGUCUGAGAGGACGAACAGCCACACUGAGCCUGCGACACGGCCCAGACUCCGACAGGAGGCAGCAGUGGGGAAUUUGUGACAAUGGGCGAAAGCCUGAUCCAGCCAUGCCGCGUGCAGGAUGAAGGCCUUCGGGUUGUAAACUGCUUUUGUACGGAACGAAAGGGUUUGGGCUAAUAAGCUGAGCUCAUGACGGUACCGUAAGAAUAAGCACCGGCUAACUACGUGCCAGCAGCCGCCGUAA